GACGAACGCUGGCGGCGUGCUUAACACAUGCAAGUCGAACGGAAAGGCCCUGCUUUUGUGGGGUGCUCGAGUGGCGAACGGGUGAGUAACACGUGAGUAUCCUGCCCUUGACUUUGGGAUAACUUCAGGAAACUGGGGCUAAUACCGGAUAGGAGCUCCUGCUGCAUGGUGGGGGUUGGAAAGUGUCGGCGGUUGGGGAUGGACUCGCGGCUUAUCAGCUUGUUGGUGGGGUAGUGGCUUACCAAGGCUUCGACGGGUAGCCGGCCUGAGAGGGUGACCGGCCACAAUGGGCCUGAGGUACGGCCCAGACUCCUACGGGAGGCAGCAGUGGGGAAUAUUGCACAAUGGGCGGAAGCCUGAUGCAGCAGCGCCGCGUGCGGGAUGACGGCCUUCGGGUUAUAAACCGCUUUCGCCUGUGACGAAGCGUGAGUGACGGUAAUGGGUAAAGAAGCACCGGCUAACUACGUG
rnacentral:rRNA from 1 species